UUUUUGCUGAUCUAACCAGUGGAGAUCAUUCGAACUAAAAAUAACAAAAUAGGUUGAAGCUCGUAUACAUCUGAUUUGAGCUAAUAGCUCAUUUAAGGCUAAUCUCCAAUAGGCUGCAGAACAUUUCAAAUAAGCUAUUGAGUUAGAUUUGGUCACCUGUUAUCAUAUUGAGAUUUGGGAUGUUCGUAGACCAAUAUUGUGGUGAAAGAAUGUAAGCCCGGAGAAUAUUUGCUAAUGCCAUCGCACAACAUUGUACUCCUGCGAAUCCUGAUGUGAAUACUCGUAUAAUAUCGUUUCCUUGAUGCAAUAAAGCACAAACACGCAUUCUUGAGGAAGCAGCGAUUUCCAUGUAAGCACUAGAAUUUCUAGUAGAUUCUUCACUAGUCUCUUCAGCUAUCUCGAGUGGUGCUUCUUCAACUCUUAUAAUAUAAUUGUCUUCAAUUACAACGUUCUGAUCGAUAGUGACAUCCUUGAUAAGUGGAUUGUUCGAAAUUAGCCAAUAGAGUGCAUCAUGUACUUUUUGCUUUGAUACUGAAAACUGUUGUGUUACAUUAAUGUUCUCUAAACGUUCAGUAAUGACGACUGUUCCAGCAUUAUUUGCAGUUCUUGGUAACAUAUUAGGAAGAUUUUCAGUAACUUCAAAAACAUCUUAUGCGAACAAUACCGUUUGGCCACAGAAACUGUGUUGCCCAAAUACUCCACUUAAUUUAAUAAUUUUUACAAAUGGAAUAAGUAAAAUUGGUCGUUGUUCUGCUUGUGAUAAUUCCGCAAUUAAUUUUGGAAUAGAACCUAGGUCCAAAUUGUACUAAUAAGAUUGAGACGGUGCAAAUUUUUUCUUUGAACUCAAAUGAGACUUGCACCGUUUACAAACGAUCAAGGAAUUUCUUUGUUUUAUUUCGCUAGGAAAAAAUGGGACUGACUUAAUGUCUACAAUCCAUUUAGAGAUCAGAUUCUGACAGCACCAAAUGUCGCAAAUUUAGCGCAAAUUUCACAGAUCUUAUCAUAAAACGUGUUAAUUGACCCCAUAAAGCCUGAUGUAUUGGCUCUACCUAGUCCUCUCGACUCUGAGUUUCGUUGCCGCAUCUGCUGCAAGAGAACUACUCUGUCCUCUCCUGUCUGUAAGGCUCGAUAUUCAGCAAUAUGUGGCCGCAUGUGCUGAAACCGAGCCGCUUUGUCUUCUUCUGACUGUGAAUUGUAUACAUUGUUUCAUAUAUAGUCGCCAUUAAUUUUUUCUCUCGACCAUUCCUUCAGUCGACAAUCCUGAAAGUUUUCCUUUCAGUUUUUGUCUCUUUUUCGUUAAUUUCCUGUUUCUUUGAGUUGUAGUUUAUUCCCACGAGUAAUGGACAAUUAAACGGGUAAACCUCCCAGAGAUCCGAUAGGAAGAUAGGGCUUUUAUUCGACAGGGUACAGGAUGGUGUCCUGAAUUUGACGCUAGCGACAUUUUUAAACACCCUGUGCCAUUCAUACUUCUUCACGUUUCUCACCUUAUGUUGGAUUGGGUGGUUUAAAAUUAAGGAAAAUUAAGCGCUCGAAACAGAGAACUUAAAACAAUUGUUUUAAGUUCUCUGGCACAGCUAUAAUCUGUAUCGUAACUCUUGUUAACUAGAAUGGUAUUUUCAAUUCAUAUUCUUUUUUUGUAUUUAAGUCUAUUAGACUUUAUGAUUACAAAUUUAUUGAUCGUAUUAAAUUCCUUUUUACCGACUGUAAUUUCAAAGAUUUACUGCUACCGAAUUUUGUUCCGUAAAAUAAAUAUAUUAAUAGCCAAAAUUGCCUGCAAGUUGCUAAAAAUCUACCAUCGGAAAUUGCAUAGAAAUUGUCAACAACACUUGUGGUCAAAUGUUGCGUACAAUUAACCAACAAGAAUUUCCAAAAAACGUUUUGCAGUAAGGUGGUCUUCAAAUGUUAAGAAAUUCACCGCCGACUUUCAUACGACUUUGUGCUCGACAACUUGACUUCAAUUCCCUGCAGUUCUCCGUUGUGCUGUGCCGAGUUCCCAAACAAAAGAAAAAUUCCGAAACUGCAGUCAUGCGCAGAUCGCGCGCUAGCGGGCGGUAAAUUGUCUCGGACCGGUUCAGCGUCAUCCUCGAUUGCAUCGUUCUAUAUCAUUUUAUAAAUCUACAAGUAA